rnacentral:rRNA from 1 species
UACAGAGGGUGCGAGCGUUAAUCGGAAUGACUGGGCGUAAAGGGCGCGUAGGCGGUUGAUUGGGUGUGAUGUGAAAGCCCUGGGCUUAACCUAGGAAGUGCAUCGCAAACUGGUUAACUGGAGUCGAUGAGAGGGUGGCGGAAUUUCCGGUGUAGCGGUGAAAUGCGUAGAGAUCGGAAGGAACGUCGAUGGCGAAGGCAGCCACCUGGCAUCAGACUGACGCUGAGGCGCGAAAGCGUGGGGAGCGAACAGG